CAGUCGCCGCGGUAAAACGGAGGGGGCUAGCGUUGUUCGGAAUUACUGGGCGUAAAGGGCUCGCAGGCGGUUUCUUAAGUCUGAUGUGAAAGCCCCCGGCUCAACCGGGGAGGGUCAUUGGAAACUGGGAAACUUGAGUGCAGAAGAGGGGAGUGGAAUUCCACGUGUAGCGGUGAAAUGCGUAGAGAUGUGGAGGAACACCAGUGGCGAAGGCGACUCUCUGGUCUGUAACUGACGCUGAGGAGCGAAAGCGGGGGAGCGAACAGGAUUAGAUACCCCUGUAGUCCCUGUCUCUUAUACC
rnacentral:rRNA from 1 species